rnacentral:rRNA from 1 species
CCCUUCGGGGUUAGUGGCGGACGGGUGAGUAACACGUGGGAACGUGCCUUUAGGUUCGGAAUAGCUCCUGGAAACGGGUGGUAAUGCCGAAUGUGCCCUUCGGGGGAAAGAUUUAUCGCCUUUAGAGCGGCCCGCGUCUGAUUAGCUUGUUGGUGAGGUAAUGGCUCACCAAGGCUACGACCAGUAGCUGGUCUGAGAGGAUGGCCAGCCACAUUGGGACUGAGACACGGCCCAAACUCCUACGGGAGGCAGCAGUGGGGAAUCUUGCGCAAUGGGCGAAAGCCUGACGCAGCCAUGCCGCGUGAAUGAUGAAGGUCUUAGGAUUGUAAAAUUCUUUCACCGGGGACGAUAAUGACGGUACCCGGAGAAGAAGCCCCGGCUAACUUCGUGCCAGCAGCCGCGGUAAUA